rfam:Angiostrongylus cantonensis strain Taiwan genome assembly, scaffold: ACAC_scaffold0002802
GCAUUGGUGGUUAAGUGGUAGAAUGCUUGCCCGCCACGCGGGCGACCCGGUUCGAUUCCCGGCCAAUGGA